AUUGAACGCUGGCGGCAUGCCUUACACAUGCCAGUCGAACGGUAACGGGCCUUCGGGUGCCGGCGAGUGGCGAACGGGUGAGUAAUACAUCGGAACGUGCCCGAUCGUGGGGGAUAACGAGGCGAAAGCUUUGCUAAUACCGCAUACGAUCUACGGAUGAAAGCAGGGGACCGCAAGGCCUUGCGCGGACGGAGCGGCCGAUGGCAGAUUAGGUAGUUGGUGGGAUAAAAGCUUACCAAGCCGACGAUCUGUAGCUGGUCUGAGAGGAUGAUCAGCCACACUGGGACUGAGACACGGCCCAGACUCCUACGGGAGGCAGCAGUGGGGAAUUUUGGACAAUGGGCGCAAGCCUGAUCCAGCCAUGCCGCGUGCAGGAUGAAGGCCUUCGGGUUGUAAACUGCUUUUGUACGGAACGAAAAGCCUUCUUUUAAUACAGGAGGGUCAUGACGGUACCGUAAGAAUAAGCACCGGCUAACUACGUG
rnacentral:rRNA from 1 species